UACGUAGGGUGCAAGCGUUGUCCGGAUUUAUUGGGUUUAAAGGGUGCGUAGGCGGCUAAUUAAGUCAGCGGUGAAAUUCCACAGCUCAACUGUGGAACUGCCAUUGAUACUGGUUGGCUUGAGUACAGAUGAGGUAGGCGGAAUUGACAGUGUAGCGGUGAAAUGCUUAGAUAUUGUCAAGAACACCUAUUGCGAAAGGCAGCUUACUAAGCUGUAACUGACGCUGAGGCACGAAAAGCGUGGGGGAUCAAACAGG
rnacentral:rRNA from 1 species